rnacentral:rRNA from 1 species
AUUGAACGCUGGCGGCAGGCCUAACACAUGCAAGUCGAACGCGUGGCGGACGGGUGAGUCAUGUCUGGGAAACUGCCUUAUGGAGGGGGAUAACUACUGGAAACGGUAGCUAUUACCGCAUACCAUCGGCUUUGCCCAGAUGGGAUUAGCUAUUAGGUGGGGUAAAGGCUCACCUAGGCGACGAUCCCUAGCUGGUCUGAGAGGAUGACCAGCCACACUGGAACUGAGACACGGUCCAGACUCCUACGGGAGGCAGCAGUGGGGAAUAUUGCACAAUGGGCGCAAGCCUGAUGCAGCCAUGCCGCGUGUAUGAAGAAGGCCUUCGGGUUGUAAAGUACUUUCAGCGGGGAGGCGGUACCCGCAGAGGAAGCACCGGCUAACUCCGUGCCAGCAGCCGCGGUAAUUC